UACGUAGGGGGCAAGCGUUGUCCGGAAUCAUUGGGCGUAAAGAGCGUGUAGGCGGCUCGAUAAGUCUGCUGUGAAAGUCCAGGGCUCAACCCUGGAAGGCCGGUGGAAACUGUCGGGCUAGAGUCCGGAAGAGGCGAGUGGAAUUCCCGGUGUAGCGGUGAAAUGCGCAGAUAUCGGGAGGAACACCAAUGGCGAAGGCAGCUCGCUGGGACGGUACUGACGCUGAGACGCGAAAGCUAGGGGAGCGAACGGG
rnacentral:rRNA from 1 species